rnacentral:rRNA from 1 species
UUCCGGUUGAUCCCGCCGGACCCCACUGCUAUCGGGAUGGGACUAAGACAUGCUAGUCGUGCGUCUCCAAGCCAUGAUGGAGACGCGGCAUACAGCUCAGUAACACGUGGCUAACCUGCCCUUAGGACGGAAACAACCCCGGGAAACUGGGGCUAAUUUCCGAUAGGUGGAGACUCCUGGAAUGGACCUCUGCCCAAAAGACGCUUAGAUCAUGCUUUUAGGCGUUGCCCAAGGAUGGGGCCGCGGCCGAUCAGGUUGUUGGUGAGGUAACGGCUCACCAAGCCUUUAACCGGUACGGGCCGUGAGAGCGGUAGCCCGGAGAUGGGAACUGAGACAAGAUCCCAGGCCCUACGGGGCGCAGCAGUCGCGAAAACUUCGCAAUACACGAAAGUGUGACGAGGCCACCCCGAGUGCCGUCCGCUGAGGAUGGCUUUUCCCCAGUGUAGAUAGCUGGGGGAAUAAGGAGAGGGCAAGUCUGGUGUCAGCCGCCGCGGUAAUACCAGCUCUUCGAGUGGUGGGGACGCUUAUUGGGCCUAAAGCAUCCGUAGCUGGCCAACCAAGUUCCCUGUUAAAUCCAGCGAUUUAAUCGCUGGAUUGCGGGGAAUACUGUUUGGCUAGGGGGCGAGAGAGGCCGACGGUAUUUUCGGGGUAGGGGUGAAAUCCUAUAAUCCCGAAAAGACCACCAGUGGCGA